rnacentral:rRNA from 1 species
ACGGGGUGCAGCAGGCGCGAACACUUUACAAUGCGGGAAACCGCGAUAAGGGAACCCCGAGUGCCAGCAUCAAAUGUUGGCUGUCCAGAUGAUUAAAAAUCAUUUGUUAGCAAGGGCCGGGCAAGACCGGUGCCAGCCGCCGCGGUAACACCGGCGGCCCGAGUGGUAGCCGUUUUUAUUGGGUCUAAAGGGUCCGUAGCCGGCCUGAUAAGUCCUUUGGGAAAUCUGGCAGCUUAACUGUCAGGCUUCUAAGGGAUACUGUCAGGCUUGGGACCGGAAGAGGUAAGGGGUACUCCAGGGGUAGGAGUGAAAUCUUGUAAUCCCUGGGGGACCAUCUGUGGCGAAGGCGCCUUACCAGAACGGGUCCGACGGUGAGGGACGAAAGCUAGGGGAGCAAACCGGAUUAGAUACCCGGGUAGUCCUAGCUGUAAACGAUGCUCGCUAGGUGUCAGACACGGUGCGGCCGUGUUUGGUGCCGCAGGGAAGCCGCUAAGCGAGCCACCUGGAAGUACGUCGCAAGGC